CAGAAGCACAGCAUCUGUGAAGCUUUCGGAAAUUAUCCCUCUGGCUCCAGCCCUUUCUAGAGAUCUCCACGCACAUCUCUGCAUGAAGGUUUCAGAGUCACUGGAUUUCCCAGGGCCUUCUCUUUGCUAGGAAUGUCUGAGACGCGCUCUGCAAGAUGAGUUGGCAGCAUCUCUGUGCCUCUGGUUUUGCCAGGCUCCACCAACAUCCCGCUAAGAACUCUUCACCCUCAAGUGCACUGAGGGGAACCCCAGUGAAGGCCAAUGAGGGAAACCACACAUCACUGAGGGCCGACGGAGGCCCCCAAAGCUCAGAUCGCUGUGCUCGCCAGUAGGUCCCCAGACACCCUUAACACAGCUAUCUGCAGGAUUGAAUGAUUGCUGGGACCACACAAUUUACACUUGGCUCUCGUGGUCCGGAGGGGAGGACUGCGCCAGCAUGAGAAGACCAGAGAGCAAGUAAAUGGAAAUUUGGCGAGAUCCUGUGGCUGCUGUUGGUGGCUGCAGCCAGACAGGAAAACUGAGAUGGUGUGAGCAGAAAGGGCUGGAAGGAGUUGGCUUUUUCCAAGAAAUUACAGCGGAAUCUUCUUCCAAGAGGCUGGGGGCCUCUGCAGACAUGAUCUCAUUACUUACCCCCCAAAUCCCCCAGCUUCCCUACGG
rnacentral:lncRNA from 1 species